UGAUAUUGUUUUACUGUAUUGGUUUGUUUUGUUGUGUUUUCAGGUUAUGUUUUCCUGUGAUUUAUUUUAGAUGUAAAUAUUCUGGAAUUUUCCAAAUGAAUUUUAGCCAAACUUUUAGUAUUUUAAGCUGUUUUUUGUGAUUUGACGUGGAAUAUACAGUUGAUGCCGUCGGUUUUUUUUUUAAAGUUUUUACAUCUGAAUGUCUUAUUUAUAGUAUAGAGGCCUGAUGAAGCAAACGAGAGUUUGCGAAACGUUGCUGAAUAUACUUUAAGAUCUUU